CCGUUCUAUGACUGGCUAGGAGACGCUAGCGGUGUGCCUUAAGCAUGCAAGUAGAGCGAGUCCCGCAGCAAUGCGGGAUUAGCUGCGAACGGCUGAGUAUAAGAUAGGAAUCUACCUCUUGGUGGGGAAUACCUCGUCGAAAGACGGGUUAAUACCGCAUAAGAUCGUAAGAUGAAAGGGCGUAACUGUUCGCCGAGAGAGGAGCCUAUCUCCCAUCAGGUAGUUGGUAGGGUAAUGGCCUACCAAGCCUACGACGGGUAGGGGGUGUGAGAGCAUGACCCCCCAGAAUGGGACUGAGACACGGCCCAUACACCUACGGGUGGCAGCAACUGGGAAUCGUACGCAAUGGACGAAAGUCUGACGUCGCGACACCGCGUGUGGGAUGAAGGCCUUCGGGUCGUAAACCACUUUUGAUAUAUGAGAGAUCAUAUGUAGAAUAAGUACGGGGCUAAUCGCGUGCCAGCAGCUGCGGUAAUACGUGAGGUACAAGCGUUAUCCGGAUUUACUGGGCGUAAAGCGUUCCGUAGGCGACUUCUUAAGUUACUCUUCAAAUCCCGGGGCUCAACCUCGGACCGGGGAGUAAUACUGAGAGGAUUGAAAUAUUUCGGGGCAACUGGAACUGUCGGUGUAGGGUGAAAUCCGUUGAUAUCGAUAGGAACUCCAAGGGCGAAGGCAGGUUGCUAGGGAAUCAUUUGACGCUGAGGAACGACAGCUAGGGGAGCGAAAGGGAUUAGAGACCCCUGUAGUCCUAGCCGUAAACUAUGCUCGCUAGUAGUGUGGACUUCGGUCUGCGCUGCGUAAGCUAACCUCGUUAAGCGAGCCGCCUGGGGGAGUACGAACGGCAAGGUUAAACCUCAAGGGAAUGA
rnacentral:rRNA from 1 species